rnacentral:rRNA from 1 species
CCUACGGGGGGCAGCAGUGGGGAAUUUUGCGCAAUGGGGGAAACCCUGACGCAGCAACGCCGCGUGAGUGAUGAAGGCCUUCGGGUCGUAAAGCUCUGUCAGAGGGAAAGAAAUGCGGGAGGGUUAAUACCCCUUUUGCUUGACGGUACCCUCAAAGGAAGCACCGGCUAACUCCGUGCCAGCAGCCGCGGUAAUACGGAGGGUGCGAGCGUUGUUCGGAAUUAUUGGGCGUAAAGCGCGUGUAGGCGGUCUUUUAAGUCUGAUGUGAAAGCCCCGGGCUCAACCUGGGAAGUGCAUUGGAAACUGGGAGACUUGAAUACGGGAGAGGGUAGUGGAAUUCCUAGUGUAGGAGUGAAAUCCGUAGAUAUUAGGAGGAACACCGGUGGCGAAGGCGGCUACCUGGACCGAUAUUGACGCUGAGACGCGAAAGCGUGGGGAGCAAACAGGCUUAGAUACCCGGGUAGUC